AUUUAUAUAGUUUAAUUAAAACAUUAUAUUUUCAUUAUAAAGAUAAUAUUAAUUUAUUUAU
rnacentral:tRNA from 1 species